UCAUAUUGCCCAAACUAUGAAAACAGGGCUUAUUCCAAAAUAUUCGUUCAAGAACUAUCUCAAAACUGCCGAUAAAAAGUUUGAUGAGCUCUUUUAUUAGCUGUUGAAGCAGCCAAAUAUUCCGUCUUAAGAUGGAACAACAUUAAAUUGUGACCCUUGGCUAAAUGCACCUGCCUUUCAUUUGUCAGAGUAGAAAUACAUGUUUUCAAAGGACUCAUUUGCCUCUUCUGCGUCAUUUUAGUGUCUUCAACUAUGCAGCAAGUGGUGUUAUCUUGUGCCUUUAUUUCUUUGCGACAAUCUACGACUCCAUUUAACCCCAUGGACCCUGCUCAAGCUCUGGAUUUGACAUACUCACUUUCUCGCCUCUUCUUCAGCUUGACGUUGAAGUUCGUCAUAAGACAUGGCAACAAUAGCCAAGAUCAAGUUGAUCAGGACCGUCCUCACCUUAAGACAAGUGAAUCCAUCGGGACAAUUUCCGGCUCCUGACGAGUUGCCGCACAUCACCAAUUGACCCGUCGAGGGUGAGGCAAACCAAUUGGAUGCAUUGUUGGUCCAUAGCUCAUAGUCAAGAUCAAUGUUCCCCGUUUUGUUGACGAACUCACUGUCGGUGAAGAAAUCCUUGACACAGAUCUGCGACAAAACGCCCAUAUAGAUUUGUAAUCCAAGCAAGGCAAACACGGCCAGAACGAAGAUGCCAGGGAUAACAGCCACGGACUUCAUGGCUCGAAACACCCGGAAAGUCCUGAGGGCCGAGAAGCUUCCCAAGUCAAUGGCAAUGGUCACAUAGGACAUGGCGAUCACAAUGAAGUCCAGCCAAUUCCAAGCAUCUCGAAGUGAGCACAUCAUGAUCAGCAUGAAGCCAGAGCCAGAGCCAGAAGCAGCCAAUGUUAUUGAUAUCAGGAUGAUGGUCUGAACAUCUGGUGCGAAAGUGGGAUCGCUCUGCGGAACCCGUCCCACUUCCUACGCUCAUAAGCGAUCAACGAGGAUGUUCAAUGGAAUAUACAUAGUACAUUGUACAGUGGGUUGGAAUGCCCAAAGGAGGUGAAAGAGGAAAGAGAAGAGGGAAAUGGACCAUGAACACACCAGAGUCAACUGAUGUCACGACCAUAAAUAUGAACAUCUGUGGAGUGCUUUUCUUUGUGUCACACGUCGCCCUCUGUGAACCUAGGGGUACAAUGUACUCGGCUGUAAAUGUUGAGAGCGAUCAAGCAGCAUGUUAGAGAAUUAAACGGAGAUCAUCAUUGUAGCAUCGACAA